UGGGGAAUAUUGCGCAAUGGGGGGAACCCUGACGCAGCCAUGCCCGCGUGAAUGAAGAAGGCCUUAGGGUUGUAAAGUUCUUUCGGUAUUGAGGAAGGUUGAUGUGUUAAUAGCACAUCAAAUUGACGUUAAAUACAGAAGAAGCACCGGCUAACUCCGUGCCAGCAGCCGCGGUAAUACGGAGGGUGCGAGCGUUAAUCGGAAUAACUGGGCGUAAAGGACAAGCAGGCGGUUAUUUAAGUGAGGUGUGAAAGCCCCGGGCUUAACCUGGGAAUUGCAUUUCAGACUGGGUAACUAGAGUACUUUAGGGAGGGGUAGAAUUCCACGUGUAGCGGUGAAAUGCGUAGAGAUGUGGAGGAAUACCGAAGGCGAAGGCAGCCCCUUGGGAAUGUACUGACGCUCAUGUGCGAAAGCGUGGGGAGCAAACAGGAUUAGAUACCCUGGUAGUCCACGCUGUAAACGCUGUCGAUUUGGGGGUUGNNUUUAACUCUGGCGCCCGUAGCUAACGUGAUAAAUCGACCGCCUGGGGAGUACGGCCGCAAGGUUA
rnacentral:rRNA from 1 species